rnacentral:rRNA from 1 species
GAGUUUGAUCUUGGCUCAGAUUGAACGCUGGCGGCAGGCCUAACACAUGCAAGUCGAGCGGAUGACGGGAGCUUGCUCCUUGAUUCAGCGGCGGACGGGUGAGUAAUGCCUAGGAAUCUGCCUGGUAGUGGGGGACAACGUUUCGAAAGGAACGCUAAUACCGCAUACGUCCUACGGGAGAAAGCAGGGGACCUUCGGGCCUUGCGCUAUCAGAUGAGCCUAGGUCGGAUUAGCUUGUUGGUGAGGUAAUG